rnacentral:rRNA from 1 species
AUUGAACGCUGGCGGCAGGCUUAACACAUGCAAGUCGAGCGAGCGGCGGACGGGUGAGUAAUGUCUGGGAAACUGCCUGACGGAGGAGGCUAACUACUGAAAACGGUAGCUACUACCGCAUACAAUCCGAUGUGCCCAGAUGGGUUUAGCUAGUAGGUGGGGUAAUGGCUCACCUAGGCGACGAUCCCUAGCUGGUCUGAGAGGCUGACCAGCCACACGGGAACUGAGACACGGUCCAGACUCCUACGGUAGGCAGCAGUGGGGAAUAUUGCACAAUGGGCUCAAGCCUGAUGCAGCCAGGCCGCGUGUGUGAAGAAGUCCUUCGGGUUGUAAAGCACUUUCAGCGAGGAGGCGUUACUCGCAGAGGAAGCACCGGCUAACUCCGUGCCAGCAGCCGCGGUAAUAC